AAAGAAAAUAGUUCAGCACUAAGUCACUUUGUCUUUAUGGCAAAUGUGAGAUGCAGUGUAUGGAACAUCUAUCUUCUAAUAUGAAAAAUUAUCGAUUUAAGUCCUUCUUAAAUGAGGCCAUUUACCCAUAGAGGGUGCCAGGCCCGUAUAACGAUAAUAAUUAUUAGAUGAUGUUUCCAAAGAGUCGUGUUGCUUGAUAGUGCAGCACUAAGUGGGUGGUAAACUCCAUCUAAAACUAAAUAUAACCAUGAGACCGAUAGUAAACAAGUACCGUGAGGGAAAGUUGAAAAGAACUCUGAAUAGAGAGUUAAAUAGUACGUGAAACUGCUUAGAGGUUAAGCCCGAUGAACCUGAAUAUCCGUUAUGGGAAAUUCAUCAUUAGAAUUAUAAUAUUUUAAUAUAUAUUAUAAUGAUAGUGUGCAUUUUUCCCAUAUAAGGACAUUGUAAUCUAUUAAUAUAUUGAAUUUAUCAUAAAAUAUGGCUUAUAGUUUAUUUUUAUUAUUAUGCUUGCAUUUUAACAUAAAAUAAAUGCCAUUCAAUUUGAUAAAGUAUUGAUAGAUUUAUAUGAAAUACAAUGCGUUAAUUUUUCGAAAUUAUAUAAUGGCACAAUUAUCAAUGAUUUUUGUGUUUAUUAUAAGCAUUUGUAUGAUUAA
rnacentral:rRNA from 1 species